rnacentral:misc_RNA from 1 species
UUUUUUUUUUUUUUUUUUUGCUUGCUUAAAUAAGAACGUUUUCGAGUAUUUUCUCUCUGUUAUCGAUAAACUGGAGAAAUUUUUUACAAAUAGACCAAUUGAUUAAUCUAUAAACAGAUGGGAAUAAUGCAGUUUCCGUGUUCAGUUAAAAAAAAUGUAGUUUCCAUGGUAUCUUUAUUGCUGUUGCUGAUCAUCUGAUUAUCUCAUCAAAUGGAUGGUUAGCGAGGGCAGAAAGAUACUAAAGUUUAGCUAAUAAAUGUCUCUGCAACCAACAAAAUUGAGGAACACUUUUAUAAGCACAAACUGCCUAUUUGACAAAAAAACUAACUAAUUCCCUAUUGCUUGCAGUAUUUUUUUUUGGUAAUAGACAUCAAGCUUGAUGUAAAAAACAGCAAAAGAUCAUGAGAUAUAAUAUGUGCCUGGGGGGAAAAAUUGAAAGAUUGAAUUAACUAUUUAAUGGCAUAUGAUUUACAACGCCAGUAUUUACACGCCUACACCAGCUAUCAGAAGUCUAUGCCCUCAUUGGUUCGAAGUUGAGCAGAUUGAAUUUGUUGAAUCAACCUUGAUCACCCUGGUAUUAUACGAUCCACAAAACCUGCACUUAUGGUAAAGCCAAUGGAAUGGUGCAGUGCCCUUCUUGUCACAGUCAUUGCACAGUAUGUCCUGGCAACGGUCCUGGUAUUCUUCUGGGAGCUCCUCAGAAGCCAAUAGUGCAUCAAGCAUGCCAAAGUACACCGCCAUAUCUCCUAAAGAUUUGCUGCAUAUUGGGCAGGUGUAGUGACUGCAAGUGUAUGCCUGAAAGCAAGCUGAAUGCAUGUAAUGGCCACAAGGCAAAGCCCUGACUAUUGCACUUGAAGUGAACAAAAAAUCACAGCAGAUGGGGCAAUUUGUCUCUAAACCUUUUUCCAGGCACUUGUGAUUCACUAACUUAAUUCCCAAGCAACAGUUGCAUGUCAUGCAAUGAAAGUAAUCAAUGCCAAGACCCCUCCCAACACGACAUAAAUUGCAAAAGGGACAAUGAUAUACAGUCCUUUCAUCAUCAAAAAACUUGCAUAUAUUGCAAUAAUACUUUGCCAUUGAAAGUCCAUUACAAGCAGGUGUUGUGCAGAUUGCACCAACUGCCUGAAUCUUCAGACAGUUCAUGCACAUCAUUUCUGAUGUUGCUUUUCUAUCCAUUGAGUGAUCGCUCACUUUGUCAUGACAAAAUCGACAGGUAAACAACUUGCCACAGCAAGCAGCACGAAGUUUACACUUUCGCUUGUAGUGCUCACAUCCAAAUACUUGUUUUUCCUGAUCUCGAAAUGAUGGUGAGCAUCCCAUUAUGUCAUCACUGUUAGAAGUUUCACCUGAUGUAGCUUGGGGUAAUUUCUGCUGAGCAGCUAUCCAGCGACUAGUCAAAAGAUUUUGAACAAGAUAUGCUUUUCUCCUUGGAUCAAGAGUUGAGUCCUUAUACACCUUUCUAAUCUCAGACUCAAGCUCAUUUUGAUUCAUACGGAAGAUAUCCUUCCACCCAGGCUUAAACAUCUGAUCACUUUGGUCCAAGCUCCCUGGAAACUCGUUGUCUUCUGUAGUAAUGCUAGACUCUGAAGUUUCAUUCUGCAAAGAUGAUUCUGUUGGUCCUUUCCAGCAUUCAUUAAGCCACUCAUUGAACAUUGUGUUUUUGGUUGCUUGCUUCCACGUGUCCAUCAUUUUGUUCUGCUCAUCCUGAGUAAGAGCAGAAGUUACCCAGGGCAACAUAGAUUGCAGCACUUCAGCACCGGUAGUACCAAUUAUGCGGCCAACUAUUUUCUCUUGCUCCUGAACUGAAAAAUGCCUUCCAAACAAUGGCCACAACUCAACUUCUUCUCUCAAAAUAUGAUGAUCAAGAGUAACUCUUAUAGAUUUGCACAUCCCUUGCAGCUUAGUGGCUAGUUCACCAUACUUUGCCAUACAAUCCUCAUCAUGGGCAACAGAAAGUUCAAUUUUACUUCCUGCUGAAUCCUCCAUCAUGUCAGACUUUUGCAAGCUUUCAUGAAGGCGUGAAAGCUCAGAAAGGACAAAUGAAAUAUCUUCAAACAAUUUUUCCUCUUGCUUAUGGUCCAGCGUGUAUGAAUGACUCACAUUAUGAAGUGCCUCUUUGGAUUCCAAUGCUGGAAAAACAAUAUCAUCCUCAGCAUUACUAUGAGCUCUGUAUAAGCCCCAUAACAAUCGGAACCUUCCAAUAAACUGCUGAAGAAGUGUCUCAUCACAUUCACUGAGCUUUCCAGAUUCAGCAUCCAGAUACUCCAAGUCUUUGCUUAUGGCUUUAUGAAACUUAAAUAUUGUAUCAAUUGGUCGUUCUACAUACCCAAUAUCAGAGGAGCUAUUAUCUGCUUCCCAAACAAAAAGACUGGAGUUAAGAGCUGGAGCAGAGUAGCUGAAAGACAAGGACCGCAAAGACUUGGUAGUAGAAAGAGAAGUGAGUCCCAGAUUAUUGCUGUUCAUUCCUAAACCUGGGACACAACAAGACCAAUCAGUACAAGAGAGUUCACAGGAACUUAGCGCCCAAGAUGGAUUGAGGGCAUUGCUAUUUUUGCAUGACACUGGAAUAUUUGUUUUGACUGGCCUUUUGUUGUCAUCUCCACAAACUGAUACAGAGCUAUCCUUAGAGCGAAAUGAAGAAGCACAUGCAGAGCAUGAUCUAACAAUAUCUGCUUCAAUAUCAAUGAAUUUUCUGGCAGGACAACAACCAAUUGCACUUGACAAACAUGCACCCUUGUUACGACCCUUGCAAGCCCAGCCAGUAAAAAGUGUUACCAAAGCAGUAUCCGCUGAUGGAGCUUAAUCAAAAUAAACACAAAUUUGAGAAAAUACAGUAAAUGUAUUGCUUCAUUGGACAAAAUAAAUCUAGCAAAUAGCUAUAAUGGAGAUGGAUACAGAACCUGCUGAUUGCAUGUUUUUAAGAAAAUUCUUGGCUUCCUCUUCAGUUAGUGACCCCGCUAACCAUGGCAAGACACGCUCAAUCAAUUUCAAGGGCAUCACACAUAAGCUUUGGUAUAAAAGUUCCUGCUGCCUUUUGAAGCUAAAGAGCUUUUGGGCUAGUGGAAGAACCUAGAUAUGCAAGGAACUUAGAAGAUAGUCUUCAAAAAUCAAAGGGGAUGUUUGGUGCUACAAUUUCUAGUCAUGCAACAUCCAUUAUAAACUCCUUUCAGAAGACUCUAUAGUCUCUAUUACCAGCUUUAAAUUUGAAAUAGGAGCAGACACAGCAGAGUUGUUUUUAAACUUCCCAAAGCACUUCUAUGCAUUAUCACGUUCACAAUUCACCAACUCCCACCGGCUAAUUCUGAGUUUGUAGUACUAGUUCAGUAUUAAAGGAAACUAGGCAUAAUUUCGCAGUUCAUAGACUACCAAACAUCCCCAAGGAGAAUUAUUACAUCAAUAAGGAAAGCUCACCUGAACUUCCUCAUUGUAGAAGUGCCUUUGUAUAGUUUCUAUUAUUUGAUCAGUAUGAGAGCAUAACUUUGCAUAAAAAUCAGCAGCUGAGUUAGAAUUUGCACCUGCCCUUUGAAUACUUUCUAUCAAACGUCUAAACUCAUUAAAUUGACUUUCUUCUUCAGCAUGCUCUUGGAAGAAAGAGAAUUCUCCAUCUACUGCAGGAAAUAUGACUUUGUCCUCAGCAAUACUGUGGAAGAUGCAAACAUCAGCAAUGAACUGCAACCGAUCAUCAAAGGCUGAUAAAUUUGUAAAAUCUCCAGAAAGUUGUAUUCUUCUAGCUUCCUCAGCUAUCUCGUUCAAUUCUCGCUUAAUAGCACUAUGCCAAAGCAAUAUUUCAUUUAUUGGGUGUGUUGAUGUUCCAAUACUGUCUGAAGCAUCAUUAGUUGACUCGAAAUAUUUCCUUUUCCCGAUCUUGUAAUGCUUACAUGUACAUGUGACAUUAUCCAAUUCAUGAGAACUUGCACACCAAGUGGAAUUUGCACAGUAUUGAUCCUGAGGAUCAUCCACACAACUUUCAGCUGUCUUUGUACCAUUUCUCCCUUCCAUCCAGGUGAAAAUAAUCUGCUGAAGAAGCUUCUCUUCUGGGAUUAUCUUACUUAAGCACUUGCGCAUAUCCUGGGAUUCAACAGGUGAAAUAGAAGAUGCUAACCAUGGCAGGAAGUCCGCCACCAAGUUCACAGGAAUGCUGCAUACAAACUGCCAGAUUAGAGAUGACUGCUCUUCAAGAGAGAACUUCUCAAUAAGCAAGGGAAAAACCUGUUCCUCUUCCUUUGCCAUGUGCUGACUAAGCGAUGUCAGAAGAGCUCCUGUGCAAGAUGCUAAUUCUCUUGGGAAACUUUCAUCAUUUUGCAUAUAAGAAUUUAGCAGCUCAAAUAAUUGAUCAAAAAGAACACUUUCUCCCUCAUGUUCAAGAGAGUAUGUUCGUGCCACAUUCUUAACACGUAUAUCAAGAGCUGGAAAGAUAACCUCAUCUUCAGCAUUGCAGUGGUGCUUAUAUAUCGAGCGAAGGAAGUGACACUUCCGGAACAACGGCUUAAUAUCUCCACCAGUGGUGGCGAAAGUCAUGGCGGCGCAGUGGAGGCGAUCGAGCUCAGACCUAAUAGCUUUAUGGAAGAAGAGAAAGAUAAGAAUUGGAGAUUUAAGGGCAGAAUUCUUAACGCAAGUUUUCGAAGGCGUAGAAGGAUCGAUUGGGUUCACCGGCCCAGACAUUACCGCCACACCUCCUGCUCCUCCGUCUACGCCAGCGAAUGGCGUCCCCAUUAUUGGAAAUCGAAGUGAUAGAUCUAGAAAUUAUUUCAGAUUUCUCAGCUUCUUCAAAAGCCCUAGUUGGGCUAUAUUUUCAUUCCAUUCUCUUCGAAAUACUUACAAAAUACGACGAUUAAAAUGUUUUUUGUCUGUCUCCAAAGGAGGAGAAAGGAGCAAAACUGAAGAACGAGAAGGUUC